UUUGCGGAGCUCGAACGACCAAACGUCCAUUCCCAUUCCCCAGAUCCCUCAUCUUCUUUCUAACUGUAAAGUAUUCUUUUUGUUUAGAGUGAAUCUCAAGCUUUAAUGGCCUCCCUCAUUCCUCCACCUCCCUGUCACAAACCAUUUUUUAUUUUUUAUUUUACAGCUAAAUCGGUAGUUAAUUCAACUUUCAAUGCCUUAUUUAUUUCUUAAUUAUUAACAAUCAAGCUAGUUUUCAAGGAUUUUAUGCAAGUUAAAUCGGUACCUAAUCUAAUAUUUUUUUUAAAAAUCCGAACCCUUUUUGAAAAAAAGAAGAACAAACACUGAUACCAAUCGAGUUACAAGUAUCUGGCAGUAGUUUAAUCAUGCAAAACAAGGGAGGCUUGAGCCAAUAACAUGGAUUCACCUGCGAUAGCGAAGAAUACAAAUCUUGGUGGAAUAUGUGCAGAUUUCACAUCAAGUGGGAGGACAGGACCACCUAGGCCAAAUCAACACUGCUCUUAUUCUUAUAUUCUCCAUCCCAAUCUAAAGUGCUGGAAACAGACCAAACAUACAUACAUACAUACAUCUUAGAUUCCAAUCAAAUCACAGCCAACAAGAUCUCCACCAUCUGUUAAGAAGCAAGGCACAGAAGAUCAGCAUUCGGUGAGAGUCCAAGGAGAGUGCUUAGCUUUUCAAAGAGGAGGAAAGCACUGCUUUCCUGAUCCUGAUGACAAAGCUGCUUCUGGAUUUGGUGUGUCUGGAGAUCAUGGCAUCAAAUCCUCUGAAGUUUAUGGUUUUGUUGGCUCCAUUACUACCGUUGUUGCUACAGUCAUUUUCUUGGUAUGGGCAUAUGUUCCUGAAAAUUGGUUGCACACAAUUGGAAUCUUUUACUAUCCCAACAAGUCAGUGGCCAUGUUGCUUUGCUUUGACUAGUCUUGUCUUCUACAUUGAGGAAAGUACAUGAUGAGUAGGCCUAGUUGUAACUUGGAUUCUGCUCUUGAGGUACUAGGCAUUGGCUGGGCCAAUUUAUGCCAUGUUGACAAUCUUACUAGCUCUGCUAUCUUACUAUCUGGGCCAAUUUAUGCCAUGUUGACAAUCUUACUAGCUCCGCCCCCAAGCUCCUUGAAUACAACUUUUGGUAUGUUGCUCCUGCAAAUGUGAGAAAUCACUUUUUGGCUCCCGACGAGCUACAUGUUUGUAUGAUGUCGUGCUCUGUGUUGUACAGAUGAAUUCAGUAACGAACCUUCACCCUUCAUUCCAUCGAGGGAGGGAGAUGAGCAGCCCAUCGAACCCAUAUCUGACAAUGGCAUCAACAAAAUAAAAAAAUCUCAUGUUUACUGAUGUAAAAUAAUUGAUAACCUCAUUUUUGUUGAUGAUUGGUGAGAAAUGAAAGAUGCACCAUCGAAAGCUGCUGUUGUGCCAAA